GCGGGAAAUUAAAAUAUGAACUCUGUUCAUUCUUUGGUUAUCCAGUUUGAUGCCACACACUGCACCGGACUAAAUGACCAAAGUCAGAACGGCGUACACUUUCACAUAUUAAAUGC
rnacentral:precursor_RNA from 10 species